rnacentral:rRNA from 1 species
CUUGUACACACCGCCCGUCACACCAUGGGAGUGGGUUCUACCAGAAGUAGGUAGGCUAACCGCAAGGGGGCCGCUCACCACGGUAGGAUUCAUGACUGGGGUG